GCUAGUGCUGCUAUGUUAUAUAUGAAUAUUAAAUAUGGUAUGCUUACUAUAUUCCAACCUAAAAUAGUUAACUACCUGAUACCAGCUGUGAUGUUUCAAGACAUAAAGGGUAACAUUUAGUUUUAAAAGUUUUCUAAACAUAGUUUACUUCUUGCGAAUAUUGUCUCCAUAACUAUAACCUAACACAAACGGUCCAAUUAAUUUAGUCUUGUGAGAUUCAGUGUUUAUGAAUCUUUCAAGUUCAGCAAUAAUUAAUUUGUAUCGGCUAAAAACUUAUUCCAGUUGCAGGUUUAAUUUUAACCCCAGUUAUUAAUGGGUUUCUUCCUCUUGGUUCUAAAUCUUGGUUUUGCUCCCCUCGCGAGUUGAUUCCAAGACGAAGGAAACGAAACAAAGCCCAGCAUCCUGCACGUCACCCUGCCAAUCUAAACGUUUUAGCCAGAAAUCCAAAGUAAAGCACAAAUUCUGUCGAUGCAGAUAGUUGAUUUUCGACUUAUAUGGAGAAAUUGCAUUUGAAUCAUAGCAGAAUAGCAGAAGAAAAUUAAAAAUUUUGCACAGUAUGAACUUCAUACCCCUCUUCAAUCCCCAAAAGAACAAAGUCUUGAAAAUAUUAUUUUACAAGUAUAUUUAUAAUGUUUUUAAAAGAGACUUUGCAGAAGUGCCUAAAUUUUGUCACAUCAGACUUGAUGAAAGUGAGCCUGAUGCCAACAGUCUAAUCUUACAGGAAGCGAAUAAUCUUUCAACUCGUAAUCGGGUUACCAAAAAGAUGCAAGCUGUUUAGAAACAGCUUCUCUAAAUGUAAAAUCAUACAAAAGACCAAACAAACAAAAGAAAACAAACAAAAAAGGAAGGUGCAGAUGAAGAGAUUUGUAUGAUAUUCUCAUUUAAUUAAAAUUCAGUUUAGUCACUGAAACUUGGUAAGUGACUUUAAUCUAGAUUAUUAACUGAACACUAAGAAUGUAGGAUGAGAUUCAGUUUCAUAAAUCAUUACUGUAUUUGCAUUUUUUAAAUUGGAUCAUAAGAUUGUAACCAGAUUAGAGUGAAGAAAAAAAAUAGUUCUUUUAAUUGUUUUUUCUUUAAAAACAUAUUUUGUGUCACAAAAGUAUGAAGAUAUCUUUAAUACAGUUAUAUACAUAUUAUAUAUACAUACAUACAUAUAUAUGGAUGAAGCAGAUUUUAAUGUUGUUUACUUUUUUAAAUACUUUGUUGAUUUACAAGGUAAUUAUAUAUGUAUAAUUAAAAUUUCAUUUGUUUGAUUUGAGAUUUGUUUCAAGCACUAUUGUACCAAAUAUUUCAUAUUUCACAUUUUAUAUGUUGCACAUGUAUCACAUAAACUACAUAGUUUUUAAAUUAUUGUUUAAAAAACAAGACAGCUGUUAUAAGUGGAUAUUAUGUAUAAUUGUUUGCGGCAUAAGUUUUCUAUGUGGACAUUAUUAGUGAUUGCAGUAUUUUAACUUAACCUCUUCAGAUUGAUUGUAAACUAUUUUAAACUUUGGCAGCACUGCCUGUUCUGAAAGACUGAAGGCACUAACCAUAUAAUUACUUGUCUAGGAGAUUAUUUUCUGGGCUAAAUCUUGUUUGUCCAAUGUCUAAUUACUAUCUAUUUAUAUAUAAAGCUGGAGAUUUGAUCAUCCGAAAGAAAAAAAUAAUCACAAUUCGAUUGUAAAAUUAACAUAGUGCUUGUAACGUUGCGUUAGUUUUAAUUUGUGGAAAAAUAAUGUAUCUUAACUUGUUACUUUAGCAGUUAAGGUAUCACCAUUAUAUACUAUUAAACACUAAUAUUUGUAGACUUUCUCAGUCAUUAUAACUAGGUAGUUGACACUGCAACUUGCCUAUAUCUGUCAAAGUUGUUUUUAUUUUUUUAUAAUAGUUAAUUUAGGCAUUUGGGUAGCUUAUUGUACAAUACUAAAUGGUAAAUUAUCCAUGUUGUUUAAAUAUUUUAUGUAGAUAACUCUUCAAAACAUUGUUUGUGUGAACUUUUUAUGUUUCGAAAUAACUGUUAUUCUAUGUUUUUUACAAUUAAUCCAAUACUACUAUUUUUUGCCCAUGGAUGACGAAGCUUCAGAUACAUCAGGUCUUUCAUCCAGAUCAACUGACAGACAAAAAAAAAGAGAAAAUGUAUUUUUAAUAAGAGAUCCACUUUCCGACUUUAUGACUUUGUAAUAUUCCUAAAAGCUGUACAAGUGCAAACCUAUGCUAACAAUAAGGAGGCAAUUACAGACAUGUGCAAAUACGUGUACAACAGAUUCUGCAUUUUAUUUAUUUAUAAAGUAAUUUUAUAGACUAUUUCAAAAUUUGGGAAGAUCUAAAACUAUUUUUCUGUAUAAAUUUUAUUUGCCAAAACUUUGUUUAUAUUUUAAAAAGCCUAAUGAAAAUGAGUAAAUUUUAAAUGCUUUGUUUAAUUAAAAAAUAAAAAUAAAAACAAAUAAACCCCCCCAAAAGAACCAUGAGAUGGGCCAACACAGAGACAGUGAAUACUGUAGCUGAGAUAUAAUUUCAAGUUACUUGAGAUGUCUCAGUAUUUAUUUUCUUUAAAAGAUACAGCACCUCACCAAAAUACCUUUUUGUUUGCCUCUCUCAUACCGAAUAAUUGACAACACUUACAGUGAAUGUUUCAGGAACAGUUAAAGAAACCCCUUCAGUCACUUUUUUU